rnacentral:lncRNA from 1 species
UUAUCGAUUUCAAACUGAUUACCAGUUAAUUGCUUCCUGUUUGGUGAACCACUAGGAUGACCACAGCUUAUAAAACAAUCGGUGAUGUAAUUUCGAGUUAAACGAUGAUAAUUACGUAACUUCGAGGCCGCGAGAGUUUUUAUUGAUAGUUGUCAAGUGCUGGUUGCAAGGCUUCUAUUGUAACGUCUAGAACCUCCUCCAGCUUGAUUUACGAACAACAGGGGGGAUCGAUGACAACCGGUGUAUAUCCGUGGAAAAGAAGUUUCCUGGCACGGCGCAGAUGCACGCUACGAGAACGCACGUGCCACGGACAAUAGACCAAUCGCAUGCGGAAGAGACGCUCGACACUUCUGCUCGCUUCUUUGACAAUGAGAGCAAGGACACCCUACAUGUUACCUGUGAGGUAAGACAGUCGAAGAGGUACGUCUGGACGAUGUUCAGAUAACGGAUGUUCUUCAGACGAAAUGGACAUUAGAGGGGCGAGAAGGGGUGAAGAUUGUAUAAUUUGAAUUUUAUGUACAAGAAUUUGAAACAUGGAUUUAUUCAGGUUUCAGUUUAAUAUUGUAUUAUAAAAUAGAGUGUGCCAUGGCUUGCCGUUAAA